rnacentral:rRNA from 1 species
UACGGAGGGUGCGAGCGUUGUCCGGAAUCAUUGGGCGUAAAGGGCGCGUAGGUGGCCCGGUCAGUUCGUGGUGAAAGCGCGGGGCUCAACCCUGCGUCGGCCAUGAAUACUGCCGCGGCUGGAGCACUGUAGAGGCAGGCGGAAUUCCGGGUGUAGCGGUGGAAUGCGUAGAGAUCCGGAAGAACACCGGUGGCGAAGGCGGCCGCUGG